CCUACGGGAGGCAGCAGUGGGGAAUAUUGCGCAAUGGGCGAAAGCCUGACGCAGCGACGCCGCGUGAGGGAUGAAGGUCUUCGGAACGUAAACCUCUGUCAGCAGGGAAGAAAGGUCACUGUGCUAAUCAGCAGGGAAUUGACGGUACCUGCAAAGGAGACACGGGCUAACUCCGGGCCAGCAGCCGCGGUAAUACGGAGGGUGCGAUCGUGAGUCGGAAUUACUGGGCGUAAAGCGUUCGUAGGCGGGAGGUCAAGUCAAGGGUGAAAUCCCCGCGCUCAACGUGGGAACUGCCGUUGAAACUGGCAAACUGGAGUGUGUGAGAGGAUAGUGGAAUUCCAGGUGUAGGAGUGAAAUCCGUAGAUAUCUGGAGGAACAUCAGUGGCGAAGGCGACUAUCUGGCACAUAACUGACGCUGAGGAGCGAAAGCGUGGGUAGCAAACAGGAUUAGAUACCCCAGUAGUC
rnacentral:rRNA from 1 species